rnacentral:rRNA from 1 species
GAUGAACGCUAGCUACAGGCUUAACGCAUGCAAGUCGAGGGGCAGCAUUGGAGUAGCAAUACUUCAGAUGGCGACCGGCGCACGGGUGAGUAACACGUAUCCAACCUGCCGCUUACUCGGGGAUAGCCUUUCGAAAGAAAGAUUAAUACCCGAUGGUAUAAAGAGUUCGCAUGUUCUCUUUAUUAAAGAAUUUCGGUAAGCGAUGGGGAUGCGUUCCAUUAGAUAGUUGGCGGGGUAACGGCCCACCAAGUCUACGAUGGAUAGGGGUUCUGAGAGGAAGGUCCCCCACAUUGGAACUGAGACACGGUCCAAACUCCUACGGGAGGCAGCAGUGAGGAAUAUUGGUCAAUGGACGAGAGUCUGAACCAGCCAAGUAGCGUGAAGGAUGACUGCCCUAUGGGUUGUAAACUGCUUUUAUAUGGGAGCAAUAAGGUUUACGCGUAGACCGAUGAGAGUACCAUAUGAAUAAGCAUCGGCUAACUCCGUGCCAGCAGCCG